AUACUUACCUGGACGGGGUCUAUGGGCGAUCAAAGAGGCUUGUGACCUGGACCAAUGGCCUGCAUUGCACUUGGCAGGCACGCUGGUCUACCAUCUCCCCGGGCGGGAGAGUGGACGUCAUAAUUUGUGGAAGAGGGGGUACGGCGCGGUCCCUAC